CGCGACGGGGAAGGCACCCGGCGCGGGGGUUUCUGCAGCACAAAGCUACGCGCGCGGCGAUUGGCCCCGAGGAGCGACGCGCAGAGAUGACGUCACGAGCGUGCUUUUGCGCAGCUUUCAAUUUGUGCUUUGAAUUGGUGCUUAGGCUAGGUACCCUUUCGCUAAGACACACUGAUUUUCCGUGUUUUUGUUGUUGUUGUUUUUUUCAAAUAAAGCGUAGAUUGAGCCGGGCGGUGGUGGAGCACGCCUUUAAUCCCAGGAGGCAGAGUGCCUGGCUCAACCAUCAUCACAGAAGCUUCCUUCUGCAGCAGAUGGGAACACAGACAGAGCCCCACAGCCAGAUAAUAAUCCGAGAAUGGGAGACCUCUGAACAGUCAGCUCUACAUGAGAUGUCUCCAACAAAUCCCUCCCCUCGGGGCUCAGAGAACCCUGAAGAAGAGGAGACAAAAGGGUGUAAGAGCCAAAGUGAACAGAGAACACCAAAGAAACAAGGCCUUCUCAACACAGCAGGAUCAACACAUAUAUGAACACAGCGGCUGAGACAGCAUACACAGGGCUGCAUCAGAUGGGGGUCUUAGAGCCAAAAGGAGAAAUGGACACACAUGCUUCCAUCCUAACCCAGAAACUAUCUCCAAUGGACAAACCUUGCAAAUGGAAAUUAGGUUUCUCCAGGGUCGUCUCAGUGGAGAAUCAAACUACUCUUAAGGGCGGGACACAUGCCCAGCUUUAGAUGGCCAAUCGAAAAUGAACUCAACAGAAUCUUUGGAGGUUCCUUGUCACAUAAGGUCAUGUUGAGCAAUUUUCUUUUCCAAGUUUUAUCAUUUUUAAUUUUUAUUUUUUUUUAUUUUUUAUUUUUAUUUAUUUAUUUAUUUUUUUUUUUUGGUUUUUGAGACAGGGUUUCUCUGUGUAGCUUUGCGCCUUUCCUGGAACUCACUUGGUAGCCCAGGCUGGCCUCGAACUCACAGAGAUCCGCCUGGCUCUGCCUCCCGAGUGCUGGGAUUAAAGGCGUGUGCCACCACCGCCCGGCUAAUUUUUAUUUUUAUCUCUUAUUUUAUCAUACUGUUCCUUUGCAUAUAUAUUAUUGCUUCCAGUUUUGUGUUUUUAUGGGGUUCCUGAACAUGAUAACGAAUGGGUCUCUGCAUCUGUAGCUGUUUCUUGAGCCUUUUCUUGGGCUAUUUUCCUUCUGUUUGUUAGUUUUGUCCUGUUCCAAUGUGUUUGUUUCUGUUUUAUCUUAUUUCAUUGUAUUAGUAUCCCUUAGAAGCCUGUUUGUUUUCUAGUGAGAGACAGAAAGGGAGUGGAUCCAGAUGGGAGGAGAGGUGGGGAGAAACUUGGAGGAACAGAGGGAGGGGAAACCAUAACCAGGAUAUAUUACAUGAAAAAUAAUCAAUUUUUGAAAAAGAAAAAAAUACUACAUUGAAACUUUUAUUGCAUAGUACUUAUUUUUAAUAACAUUAUUUGUAAAUGAAGUUUGUAUAGGUGUUUCACAUUCAUUCCUUUUUCUAAUUUUAGUCCCAGAUUGAUCUGUACAAAUCCACUUAUAAUUGACAUUACAGUAGAAAUAGUAGUAUUUUGAUCUCACCAGCUCUAUUAUUAUAUAUUGGUUUGGCCUGUGAAAAUCAAAUGCCCAAAGCUGGCUGGUUUAAAUUUAAAAAGAAAUGUAUUUUCUCAUGAUUGUGAAGAUCAAAUUCCCAAAUCAAGGUGUUGGCAAGGCUGUGCUCCCUCUGAAAACACUAGGGCUGAGAACUAUUAUUUUCUUUAUUAUCCUUUACAUUUUUUUCCCCUUUGUAUCUAGUCUCUUAAAGUAGAAGCUGUGGCUAUUGACUUAAGACAUUCCUUUUUCUAAUACAUGAAGUUUUGUGGGAAUUUUUUCCCUAGAGUUGUUUAAAAUAUUCCAGAAAUGAUUAUAUGUGUUUCAUUUUCAUUUCUGUUCUACUUUCUGUUGAGUCCAAACAGAAAAGCCCUAAGCACCCCAAAAGGGCAAGCCCACUGACUGGGUGCGGUCUGGCCUCAGCUCAGAGCUUACCAGGACUGUGACCUGAACACAGCAUUCCUCAGAAAUCUUGUAAAGUGGGCUUCUGUUGUCCAGGAAAAGCCAUUACUUUCUUAUACACUCCUACAAUGCCCAACCUCUGGAAAGAGCAUCUAGUUUUCUGUUAACUCAAACAAGCUUCCAAGAGACCAAAGCCGAAUGCCUUUGUUUCACAGGCUGCUGCAGCUGACUUUCAUCCACCUUGUGCACUAUAACCCCUUAUAACUGGCGAGACCCCCACCCGCCCCCUGUGUACCACCGUUCUUGCUCUUCCCUCUGCCCCCAAGAGAGAGCCAGGGCAACUUUGGAUUUCCCUAAAUAUUCCUGGCUUCUCACCCAUGGAGCAGUCCACUUCAACAGUUUCACUGAGCCCUCACAUCUGGUGCUGAAACCUGAAAACAAGUAGUUUGUUUAAAAUCAGAUAUUUUAAAUAGAUUAGAUGAUGGUCCUGAAACUCCUCAGAUCUGUUGAAUAUUGUAUUUAAGGUGUUUAAAGAAAAAGUCUUCCCAUGAUAGACAGAAAUAUCAACUUCUGGCAGCAGCCAUUACCAAAGAUGUUCUGUGGCUAUCUCCCAAGAAGAUGGGCACCUAUGGACUCUACCCAGAGAUUGCUUCAAGUGUGGUAACUCUUACUACUGGACAAAGCCUUGCCCACUGCAAGGGCCUUACUCCACCUGUAGACACUAUUGGGUUGAGUGCCCCACUCUGCUUCACCAAGAUGGGUCAGUCCCCCAAGUUCCUUCUCCACAGGAAACUCUCUCCAGUCUUCUGGAUCUGGUGUCUGAGACAGGUGGUACCCUAAGACUUCUGUCCCCAACAAAGCCAUAGAGAUUACCAUGGAGGGCCCCAGGCUGACUGUUCAAGCAGCUUGUAAGUUUCUGUUGUGUUUAAUGAUACAGAGUCCACUUGGUCUAUACUUCCUGCUCACAUUUAUAUGUCUCAUAUGUCUUGAAGGUUGUGAUGGUGGGACUCAUCUCGUCCCAGGCCCUCGCUUUAUCAGAGAGUUUAGCAUUCGUACCACCUACCACUACAGCAGCAAACACACCUCAGCCACCUCAGUCAGCCCCUCUCCCAAGCUCCCUAAGACUACAGCUGCUUGGUCAGUCUAUCCGUUGGUGAAAGCCUAAGCCCGAUUCUUUUUCUCUCUGCUCUGAACUCUUCCAGAUGCUUCUGGCUUCUCUCUCUCUCUCUCUCUCUCUCUCUCUCUCUCUCUCUCUCUCUCUCUCUCUCUCUCUCCCUCUCCCUCUCUUCCUGUCUCUCACUUAUCUACAAUAAAAACCUUACCCCCAACCAUGGAGAGGUCAUUUCAGAGAUGUCUGUACUACAACCUCUUUUGUGCACUUUCACCAUCAGCAUGAAUCAGAGCCCAGAAUUGCUCCAACACUAUUCUGUUGUUGUCGAUCUUGUUCUUGUGCUGGUUUUGCUCUUUUGAGGUAGGGAUAUGGCCUUAAACCAACCAAUCCCCAGUCCUGAGGUAUCCAUGUUACCCAGCCGGUAUUACCAUACCAGUGAAAAUAAUUGUAUUUAUUUUCAGUUCCCUUCUUCAAAACAAAUGUAUUAGAUAUUAAAUAUAGGCCAGCA